UCUGUUUGAGUAUUUAUUUAUUUAUUUAUUUAUUGAGAUUCAUAUCAUUUAACCCUUUGAGUGGUAUGGGCGCACAUAUGCGCCCAGCGAAAGCUAUCGAUGUAGACUAUGGAUGCGAAUAUGCGCUCGGCGGAUGCUAUCGGUAUGGACUAUGGACGCAAAUAUGCGCCUGGGGAAAAUGAUCACUGUACUAUGGUCAAAUGUAUAUGCUCGGCAAUUGUUUCUAUUGCAUGAAAAAAUAUUCAGCACUCAAAGGGUUAAAUGAAAUAUACUUUGUUAUAACAUAACAUAUUGUAAAUAUAAUA